CCUUGGCCGUGUGGGUGGCACCCACAUGCUGUGCAGGCUUGUGAACAGCACAGCAAUGGUAUCACACGAUUUUGCUUUUGGGGUGGGUGCCGUCGGGGGACCACGCAGUGGUGGGGGCAGUGGCCGCAGCAGUGAGCCAGCCUCCUUGAGCCUGGUGGCUGAGAGAGGGGUGAGGCAGAAAUAGGAGGGCUGUGCUUCUGAGAAUCCAGGGAGACAUCCAGAGGCCCCCGGAAGCAAGGGUGAAGGGUGCCAUAUAAAGAUCUCAAGGGCAGGCUGUUGGAAAGAGCUGGAAAAACCACCCUGUCUCCCUGUACUUUGACUCCGUGGCCAGCCCCUAGCACGGGGGCCAAUGUGUGGGUCCUCGGGACCCUUGUGACCAGAGCAAGAAAAGAGGGUCACAGGUGCCGUAUGUUCACGUCCUGUCCUUUGCUAGCUUGAGCCCAAGUCCUGGGGAAGGACAAGUGUAGCUGGGAGGUGAAGCCAGGGGCACAGGAAGGACUCUGGAUCCUGGGGAAGAACCGAAGGAAUACGGACAGAGCCGGGGAACUCAGAUUUCAGACAGGGUCUCAUGAUGAGAGUUCUCAGGCAUAAUCAGAAUUAGAGAAUUCCAGAGGCGUCUGAUUUCCGACCUGCCACAGAAAACAAACACAUCUGCUGGAGCCUCGGGGGUUAAUUCUGCAGUCAAGGUGUUUACUGGUGUGAAGUAUCACCACGGGCAUUUGUGAGCUAUCCCUUGGAAUCUGGAACACCAACCACACAAUUACCGUGACGCAAGGAGGAGGGAGCUGUCUCCCCGACGAACAGCGGCCAGUAUGCCUCCAAGCCCGGGGGCGGCCUGGCUGGGUGACACUCGCGCUUUCUCCAGUGUUCUGUGAGCUUCCAGGCUGGAAAGCGUGGUGGGCGUGGAUGCUCUUUAAUCAAAAGGACCUCAGGCCCUUUAAUCCUCAGGCCCGGGAGAAGCUUUUAACGAUCUCAGCAUCGUUUCUGAUUCUUCCUGGCGUCUCAUUACUUUCCUCGCACGUAAGUGGAAAUGCGAAGCUACCGGAGACGGAGUGAACCUCGGCCUCAGGAGAAGGAACCUGCUGGACACAAGCCUCCCGGCGGCUGAGCUGAGUGAACACACGCGGAGGGGCUUCUCCUCCAGGCUCCGGGUGCACAGAGACCCUCCAGGGGGCGCUGCUCAGCACUAAAUCACCUGGAGUUUUAUGAGGCCCAAUAUCCUCCUGGAGACGGAGACACGGGAGCUCCAGCUCAUUUCAAACACUGACCUGCAGGGGAUUUACGACCUCCAGGAGGGAGUGCUCUCUCCGAACAGCCUCUCUUAAAUGGGUUUUGAUACGUAUCCCAAAUGCUUGAAAACCACUUGGAGAGUCGUGAAACAUGUCUUCUGAAUGUUCCAGCUACACUGAAUGGAUAUACCACAUUUACUGGCAGUUUGGUCACCGAUGGACUUCUGGGUUCAUGCCAACAUCUUGCUGAAUCCGCCACUUGCCCCCACACCAGUGUGGCAUUUUCUCCCUGCUGCGCACUGUAAAACUCUGGGGAUGCUCACAACAGCCUUGUGCGGUGGGUACUGUUAUCACCACCUCCGGAUUCAGGCAAGAAAGCAGGAGAGGGCGCCGUCAGACAGGCAGCAGUGGCAGUGGCAGCCAGCUCCGUGGCCCUGCUGGUAAGGAUGCUGCCAUGAGCUUCCCGUGCACGAGGCUUCUUCCCACCUUUCAGCUUGGUGCCUUUGAUGAUGUCCCAAUGCCAAGUUUACGGAAUUCCAGAGGACCAUGCUUGUGCCUCUGAUUUCCAUUGCUAAAGCACCUCCAAAGGGCUCUCUCAACGCACACCGUGCUAGUGAGGGAGUCUACCCAGGUCAACUUUAGAACAAUAACAGGUCCUAGUAUGGGCAAUAUAGAGAUUUUGACGGA